UACGUAGGGCGCGAGCGUUGUCCGGAUUUAUUGGGCGUAAAGAGCUCGUAGGCGGCUUGUCGCGUCGUCCGUGAAACCCGGGGCUCAACUCCGGGCUUGCGGGCGAUACGGGCAGGCUAGAGUUCGGUAGGGGAGACUGGAAUUCCUGGUGUAGCGGUGAAAUGCGCAGAUAUCAGGAGGAACACCGGUGGCGAAGGCGGGUCUCUGGGC
rnacentral:rRNA from 1 species